rnacentral:rRNA from 1 species
GAUGAACGCUGGCGGCGUGCCUAAUACAUGCAAGUCGAGCGAAUGGAUUAAGAGCUUGCUCUUAUGAAGUUAGCGGCGGACGGGUGAGUAACACGUGGGUAACCUGCCCAUAAGACUGGGAUAACUCCGGGAAACCGGGGCUAAUACCGGAUAACAUUUUGAACCGCAUGGUUCGAAAUUGAAAGGAGGCUUCGGUCGUCUCUUAUGUAUGGACCCGCGUCGGAUUAGCAAGUUGGUGAGGUAACGGCUAACCGAGGCAACGAUGCGUAGCCGACCGGAGAGGGUGAUCGGCCACACUGGGACUGAGACACGGACCAGACUCCUACGGGAGACAGCAGUAGGGAAUCUUCCGCAAUGGACGAAAGUCUGACGGAGCAACGCCGCGUGAGUGAUGAAGGCUUUCGGGUCGUAAAACUCUGUUGUUAGGGAAGAACAAGUGCUAGUUGAAUAAGCUGGCACCUUGACGGUACCUAACCAGAAAGCCACGGCUAACUACGUGCCAGCCGCCGCGGUAA